AUGACAUCAGUGACCAGUGAAUCUACUGUAGGUGCCAUGGGAUUCUCUACUGAGACUUCAGGGACACUGAAGAAAGUGAGUGGGUCUGACCAGGGAAGAGAACCAACAGACUCCACCAGUAUCCCAAUGACUGGCUUUACUGGGAGAGAUUCCAUUACAGACACUGAAACAGACAUACGUGUCAUGGAGACAACUCCAAGAGCCACAGUCACUCAAGCCCCACUUCUCACUGCACCCACUGGAGCAGGUGACCCCAUCCCUGGGAUGCACAGGAGAACUGUGUCCUCUCCCACUUCACCCUUAGCUCCAAGUGAGAUAUCCUCUGGAGUCACCAUGGCCAUUGCGAGGCCCUCACUCUACAUGACUCCAGUAGAACCCACAGCUAGCCCGGGCUCCAGUAGUCCCUUAAACAUCAGCCUAUCUGGGACAAUGUUUUCUACACCCCUUGCAGACACACCUAUAGCUGAAAUAACUCUUGGAGGGAGUUCCAGCACCCCCCCUUCUCCAUGGCCCACUCCAGUUGAUUCUUUCAAUAUUGCUGUCUCAGCCCCAGGAACUGAAAUCACCUCCAUUGUGCCUCUAUAUUCACUUCCAAUAGCCUCAAGUGCCACAGAAACCACACCAGAUCCAGACUUGUCAGUGAGACCUACCACACUAGAGCCAGGCUCAGCUGCCCUAACUUCCACUGCUCCCAGCAUCAUUCCAACACCGUCUGGAGAAGACACAAACACCUCAUUGGUGUCUAUAGAAGGACCAACAGAAGAUAAAACAGUGUCCAGCACCUUCCCAGUGAAUGCAGACACCCCUGGUAUCACUCACAGGGAGCACUUCUUCACAGGUCCUGGAAUAACUUUUCAACCUGUCAUGGCCUCUACUUCUCUGCCCAAUUUAAGUGAAGGGACCAUAUCCCCUCACCCUCUUUAGAGAGUAGGAAAAGCACUGCCAUUAUUGGAGUCUGGACAAGCCCAGCUGAACCUCUCACUCCGGAUUCCAAGAAGCCCACCCCUGCUGAGGGUUCACUCUCUGUUGGACCAGUGACUGAAUUUAGCAGCAGGGAAAGUGUACAUUUACAGAAUAGCUUGGCCCCCAGCAUCACCCCAGAAUGGGAGACCAGUAGACCAGGCAGGACUACAGAGUCAGAUAUCAGCACACUCAUCCCUGGCAAUUUUCAUCCUUCUGAGGGCACUGCUGACCUCAUGUCAAGCCCAGUGGAAGGCUCCAGCCCAAAGCCAGCUGUCUAUACCUCUCCACCCCACACCUCAGGUACUACAGGGACCAGGAUUGGAGACGAGACAGACUCAUCCUUGGUGUUGACUACACCAGCACCUGCUGUCUCUAUCAGCAGCAUCUCUGGGGCUCUCCUUGGUACAAGAACAGUGGUUCCAUGGUCUUCGAAUUCAGCUGAAGCUACAGAUCUUACCAUGAAUCGCCUUGAUCCUAUAUCCAUGUUGCCAUCCAAAUUCUCUACUUCAUCUCCUGUAACAUUUUCAGGGGUUACUUACAAGGCUGAAGACAAGAGCUCCAAUGUUCCUGGGACUGACAGCAUAAGUAUCAUCUUCAGCAGCAAGGUCACAGACAGGGUCUCUCUCCAUCCUGAGAUCACUCCUAACCAAAAUCUACUGGGCACAAUGGAAGAGAGCACAGGUGCUUUGCUGACCCC
ensembl:lncRNA